UGAUCAGUUCUCAGAUCAACACAUCAACACGUAGCUUCAACUUGUGAGUCAGCUACUCCUCUUAAACCGACUCAAAACAGUAUAUCUAAUUCUUCCCAUUCCCAUUAUGCCAUUAUCAGUUACCAACAAUCAGUCAUCCCCAACAAACUAUCACAGCAAUUCGAUUGACAAGCAGGUAGUAUAUCUUUAUUUACAGCCCAUUCAUUCAGUAUGAAUAGAACAACAGAUAUUAACAAUAGCUAUAUCUAUCCUUAAAGCAUAUACCAAGCAAUAACACCAACUUUCUUUAGCAUAUAGAGUAUUUUUACAAGAAAUUCCAGUUUUACAAGGAGUUAAUAACUGAGUAUAUACAAAAGAAGAAUAGAUGGAAUAGAUGAAAUUCGAACAGCCACAGUAACCAAGGCUGCCUCGUCGGAUUGAUAACGCCUCCAGCCGGCGAUGUUUAUUGGAGAGCACCUAUCUCUGUAAUCAAGAGUUUUAAAUCAGAAUGGCCUAGUGGUUGGGGUGGUUGCCUGUUGUCCAAGAGGUCACAGGUUCGAAUACUCUCGGCCACAAUAACCACUAGGUGGGGUGUGUGUGGUUUGUAUUAUUUAUAAUGUAAUUUCAUCAAAAAAAAAAAGUUUUAAAUCAGAAAAACCAAUUAGAAUAGAUGCGGAAAAGAAUUAGAACAGGGGAAGGGAAGAGGCAACAGCAGCCGCGAGCCACCACGGCAGAGGCGCAACUGGCAGCAGCGACCGCCGCCGCUGCCCACGCCACGGCGGUCCGCGGUGGCUGCCGACAACAGAGAGUUUGAGCGAGGGAAAGAGACUGAGACACGAAGAGAGAGAGAGAUGGACAAAAGAGAAAGCAGAGCGACAUCGGGGGAGAUCGUAGCAGAAAGAGAGAGAGAUCGAGAGACAUAGAGAAAAAGAGGGAGAAAGAGAAGCUUACCUGAGAUGGAGUAGGUGGCAGUGCGACGGGGACAACGGUGGCGGUGAAACUCGCCGGAUGACUGGAGCUGAAAGGGGGGAAAUUAGAAACCCUAGGUUGAUUUUGAAUUAAGAAUUGGGGGAAAAGGAAGGAAAGGAAGAAGAAGGGGAGAGAGGCGCCGGCCUCGCCGCGCCGGAGGCGGCGAGGACUGGCGACGUCGCCGGGCGAGAGGGAGAGGGAAAGUGAGAGACGAGGUGAGAGAACAGAGAGAAAUGGGUCUGCGUAAAAUGAAAAAGAAGGAAGAAGAGAGAUGUUGAUUUAGUAU
rnacentral:lncRNA from 1 species